GGAACGCUAGACUCAGCGUCUGGUGCUGGCCAUUCUUCCGCCUCUCCCCACUUCAGCCAUGUGAUGCUAAUGAUCCUCGUAAAAUAUAUCACGUAUUGCUUUGCUUAAUGAUCAUUACGGCGAUAUCGAGGAUGAUUAUGCAAUUCAAGACGUCUCGCUGCAGGGUACAUGCGUAUAACAUCGUUUUUAUUUUUACUUGUCAACGUUUACGAACAGCUGAUUGUUAUAGGAACGAACGUAUGGAAUGGGAAAUCGUAACCAUGGGAAACGAAUAGCAAAGGAUUCGGCCAAAACACCUGGACAUUUACAUCGCCUCGAGUCAAUUCAAAAUGGAAAAACACCAGACACAGAAAACAGCUUACGGAGAUUCCCGCAUCGCCUUGGGCAUUUUUGCAUGUAUUACAUACCUAUGUACAGAUUGAUCGAUCUUUCGAUGGAUAAGUUAAACGCCAGGUGUUAAACUCGAGUCCGCUAGACGGGAAAUUGCCAACUCAAGGACAAGGGCGUGAAAUGCAAGGGCGGCACAUUUAUAUGCGCAACUUGACUUGAACACGACAAAGCGGGAUAAAUCAUCAAAGCAAAGGAUGCAUUCACCGCUCUGCAUCCGAAGCAGAACCGUAGUCGCAUCAUUUGAAUUUCAAUGAUCAAUUAUUGCUAAAACGGUCGGAUGUGAUUGGCAAAAGGUGAAGAAGAAGAAACAUAUGGAUACCAAGUAAUAACCCUAUUUAUUUUUUAUUAUUACAGUUCACGAAAAUGGGUUUUUAUGAUCUGCAAUGCGGCAAUAUUUGAUAUCAGAGUUUGAAUUGAACUAUAUACCUGGACAAUAUGGUCUGGUAUGAUGAACCGAAACAAUUGUAAAAAGGUGUAAUACGCCGCAUUGGACAUCGCGCGUAACGGAGCCUGAUAUCAGAAUUUGAACUCGUAUUUUUGUUUAGUAAAAUCAAAAAUAUAUAUAUGUAUGUACAUGCAUACCUUUAAAUAUAUA
rnacentral:lncRNA from 1 species